rnacentral:rRNA from 1 species
UACAGAGGGUGCAAGCGUUGUUCGGAAUUAUUGGGCGUAAAGCGCGUGUAGGCGGCUUUGCAAGUCGGGUGUGAAAGCCCUCAGCUCAACUGAGGAAGUGCGCCCGAAACUGCAGAGCUUGAGUACCGGAGAGGAUGGCGGAAUCCCCCAAGUAGAGGUGAAAUUCGUAGAUAUGGGGAGGAACACCGGUGGCGAAGGCGGCCAUCUGGACGGAUACUGACGCUGAGACGCGAAAGCGUGGGGAGCAAACAGG